CAACUUCUGAAAUGUUGACCUCGGA
rnacentral:rRNA from 1 species